ensembl:lncRNA
GGCAUUAGCCUGUUGGUGCCCCGCGGAGGGAUAGCUGAAGACACGAGCUGGGAGAUUUACAUGAUCAUCAACCAGGAGGACAGCAGGGAAAGUGAUGAUGGGGUCUUUGGUCGGACGAAGUUUGGAGCACAGCUCAUUGAGGGACAACUCCCUUUGCCGCCACACGCGCCUCUGCCUGGGACAGAUGUGCUGACACCGCCUGUUUUUGUGGUGGAUGAGGCCUUCCCCCAGAAGGUCAACAUCAUGCGCUCAUACCCAGGAUCUCAACAACUGUCUCAGGACCAGAAGGUGUACAAUUACAGGCACUCAAGGGCAAGGCGGGUCAUUGAAAAUGCCUUUGGCAUUCUUGCUGCCAGGUGGCGAAUACUGGGAAGGGCUAUGGAGUGUUCUUUUGACACAGCUGAGGAUGUCACGAAGGCUUGUGUGGUUCUCCACAACUUUUUAUCAAAAGGAGACCAAUCCCUGCCUGAACAAAACCGCUACAUACCCCCAGGAAUGGUCGACCGGGAUGGUGCACCUGGAGAAUGGCGACAGGUGGUCUAGGGAGACACCAACCUUAUUCGCAGAAGACGCAUCACAGCCACAAGAGCCACCGAGGAUGGCAUGGCUGUCAGGGAACUCUUCAAAGAGUACUUCCCGACAGAGCAAGGCAGGAUUGACUGGCAGGACAGGCAUGUCAGACGUGGCACGCUGUACAAUAAAGAUGUUUGAUAUAAUGUAUGUGUUACUGUCAGGGACAGUCUGUUUUUUUGUUUGAAUAAAAUUUGUUCUUUAAACCAUACAUUGUAUAUACAAUCUCUGGGCAUAACGUACAUAAAUAACAAACAAAUGUAAUUGGAGUGCUAAUCUAUUUAUUUUUCGCACUAAAGUGCAACGGUGUCAAAGGCACUUAACUUAAAUGACAGUACAAAAACAAUACAAUUCAGGGGUCUUCAAUAUAGAUAGAACAUGUAGAACAAAACAUUUAGAACAUGAUGAAUAAUAAAUAACAAUUAAAUGUGCAACAGUUUCAAAGGCACUUAACAUUUUAAAUAACCGUAGAAUAAUAGAAUAAAAAGAACAAAAUAUUUGGAACAUAACUUAUGUACGCCC